ACCGGGCUGCUGAUUUUUCUUCAUCACCGGGCUGCUCAUCCAUCAUAGCAUCAACCCCACAUCACAACUGGUUCUUUUUCCACUCAUCCUUCGUCACACCAGCUGCACAUCCCCUCCUCCGCCACCUUCACAGCCAUUAGGUAAGUCAGCUAUUUUCUUUUUACAUAUAUAUACGUGGAGUUUCAGCAUCAGUGAAGGUUUGGACCAUUUUUUCAAGUAAAAUUAUUAUUAUAAUAGGGUAAUUAUAUUGGAGAAUUAUGUUUUGGGGGUAGAUGGCCCCAAAUUAACAAAAGGUCUAUGUAACUCUUCAAAUUGAGCCCAAGACCCAAUGAAAGUAUGGAAAUUGAGUUAAAGGAUAUCAUCCUUCGAUAUUUCCAAAAAUGUCCUUUGUUGAUUUUGAGAAAAAAAAUUAAUAUUUUUGAAAAAUACUUUUAUUUAAUUUAAUAUUUUUUAUUUAAUUUAAUAUUUUUUAAAUACUUUUAUUUAAUUUAAUAUUUUUUAAAAAUAAAUUUAUUUAAUUUAAUAUUUAAAAAAAAUAUUUAAUUUAAUAUAUUUUUUAAAUACUUUAAUUUAAUUUAAUAUUUUUGAAAAAAAAAUUUAAUUUAAUAUUUUUGAAAAAAAAAAUUAUUUAAUUUAAUAUCUUUGAAAACUACUUUUAUUUAAUUUAGUAUUUUUGAAGAAAAAAAUUAUUGAAAAAAAAUUAUUUAACUUAAUUUUAUAAAAUAUUUUAUAUGUGUUCUUAAAUGGUAUAUUUGUCCGUUACUAUUUCAUAUCCUUCAACUCAAUUUGAAGAGUUAUAUGAACCUUUUGUUAAUUUGGGGUCCAUCUACCCCCAAAAGAUAAUUAUCCCUAAUUAUAUACCAACUCCAACAUUUUUUUUUUUGUCUCAUGAGAAAUAUAUAUAAUAAUAAUAAUAAUAUAGUUUGAUAUUUAUUUAGUUUAGUUAUGAUUCAUUUAAUUAUUAGUUGUUCAUUUAUUUAUUUAUUAUUAAAUUAAUGCUUUGAAACUUAUCUAUUUAUUUACUUAUUAGUGAGAUUGAACCUAUGGUUAAAAAUUCAAUUUAAAAUAAAAAAGAAAAAAAUAAUAAAAAUAAUCUGAUGAAGGUUCUGUUGAGUUGUGGGACAUGUCCAGUAAUUUCAUUGUUACUAAGGAUGACGUGGGGAAGAACAAAAGCCCAUGAGCAUUCUUCAAAAAUUUCUCACUUGCAAAGUUUUUUUAUAAACCCUCUUUGACUUUUAAUAAUUUUCCAAUUUUCUCAUUUUUAUUUAUUUAAUCACUAUUAUUUUCAUUAUUAUUAUUAUUAUUUCAUUCAUUUAUUUAUUUUAAAAUUUCAUCCUUUAAAUAAUUCUUCAAAAUUCUGUCUUCUAAAUUUAAUUCCAAUUUUUGAAAUUUCAAUUUUCAUAUCAAUUUAUUUAAUCAUUAUCACUUUAUUCAUUAUCUAUUUGCUUAUUUUUUAAAGUUUAAUUUUUAAAUAACUCUUCAAAAUUUCGUUUUCUAAAUUGAAAUUCCAAUUUUCACUUUAAUUUAUUUAAUCAUUAUUUUAUUCAUUUAUUUAUUUACUUACUUUUAAAAAAUUCAACCUUUAAAUAACUUCCAAAAUUUUCAUUCUUAAAUUCAAUUUCCAAGACUCCAAUUUCUUUCAAAAAUUAAUUUUUAAAACUCCAUUUCUUAAUUUUUUUUUUUUUAAAUUCCAAACUCAUAAAUAACUUUUAAAAUCCCAAUUUCUUUCAAAUUUAAUUUCCAAAACUCAAAAUUUUAAAUUUAAUUGUCACAAUUUCAAUUCUCACAUAAUUUUUUAAAAUUCCAAUUUAUUUCAAAUUUAAUUUUCGAAACUCCAAUUCUUAAAUUUAAUUUUCAAAAUUCUAAUUCUCAUAAUUUUCAAUUUUCAAAUUUAUUUCAAAUUUAAUUUCUAAAACUCAAAUCUUAAAUUUAAUUUUCACAAUUUUUUACUUCUCAAAUAAUUUUAAGAUUUUCAAUUUCUUUCAAAUUUAAUUUCCAAAAUUUCAAUUCUUAAAUUUAAUUCCCAAGACUCCAAUUUUCAAAUAAAUUUCAAAAAUCUAGUUUUCUCUCUAACUGUUUUUAAUUCCAUUCGGGUUUCAAAUAAUCUUUUGUUCCUCUUGACUUUACAUAAGCAUGAAUGCAAUUUUCAUAAUUUCAGAAUAAUGGAAUUUGUGAGAUUAAUUUGUGCAAGAUGGAUCGGGCUUUGGUGGGGGCCCCACAUACGUGAUUGCUAUAUGUGAUUGAUUUACACUAUUCAAUGAUACACGAUUAUUCUGUGUUUAAUUGCUAACACUUGCUUCCCUUGAAAUAAACCGGUUCAUCACUCAGGUGCAUAAUUUGUUUAUCUUGUUCAUUAAGUUAUUUUGUUUUGAGUGAUAUUCAUUUGGUAUCCAUGCUCGAUUAAUCAAUUGUCAUGAUUGUUUCAUUUUAUUAGUAGAGGCCCGUUUUAGGGGCUUUAAAGGGUGUUAUGAUCUUUACCGUACCUUCCCGAUAAGUAAUUUGACCCCCGAACUCAAUCCUGUUUUUUGCAGACCGCCUUUUUCAAAAUAAGGAGUCACACUUAGAGUUUUUCUUUCUUAUUUUGUUUACCUUUUAAAAAUAAAACAAAAAUAAGUGGCGACUUCAAGUCAAUUUUUUUUUACCAAUUAAAUCAUUUUUCAAAAUAAAAAUCGAGUUCGUCAUCGAGUGGGAAGUGCAUGAACCGAAAUACGGGGUCCACAUAUAUAAAUUGUAUUUUAAAGAGAUAAUUUAAAUAAAUAAAUAAAUAAAUAUUUUCCUAUUUGACAAAAACUACAAUAGAUUUAGAAUUAUUUUUUCUAUUACGAUAGUUUAAUAAUUUUUUUUAAAACUACCGUACUCUUGUCAAAAAUCUUGAAUCUUUGACCAAUAAUCCUUGGUAACCUUUUAGCAUUAUUUGAACAUUUGCAUGCAUAGGAAGGACAUAAGAGAUAUGAGAAUUUUCUAAUUUUUAAAAAAAUACAAAACAUAAAGAAUAUUUAAAUAAAUUUUAAAAAUUUUGAAAAGUAAAGCUUAAACUAAUAAAUAAGCUUUUUUAAUAUAAAAAUUAUUAUUAUUCUUAAUUUUUAUUUGAAAAUAUAUGCAAACCAGACCUAAAGUCAUAUUAAUUUCCAAGUCUUCUGCUAAGUCUUUUAAUUUCAUUUCCACAGUUUCUUCGUCUUCUUGAUCGUCACCAUGAAAUGAUGCAAGAAGAAUCUGACAAAGAACUUGUUUGACGGGGUAGAAAAUUAACGAAGAUUCAGAAGAAAAUUGCACUGCUGAUGUCAAGAAGCUUAUAUCAUACUACAAACAUCA
rnacentral:lncRNA from 1 species